UACGUAGGGCGCAAGCGUUGUCCGGAAUUAUUGGGCGUAAAGAGCUCGUAGGCGGCCUGUUGCGUCCGCUGUGAAAUCCCGGGGCUCAACCCCGGGCCUGCAGUGGAUACGGGCUGGCUAGAGGCAGGCAGGGGAGAACGGAAUUCCUGGUGUAGCGGUGAAAUGCGCAGAUAUCAGGAGGAACACCGGUGGCGAAAGCGGCUUCCUGGUCCAGCAUCGACGUUCAGGCACGAAAGCGUGGGGAGCAAACAGG
rnacentral:rRNA from 1 species